UUUUCAAUAUUUCAUUUUCGCAGUUGUGCAGGAUCAGCCACAUCUGACACUCCCAGUAUACCACUCCCACGAUUCCCACACUACCAAUGCCAGAGCUCAAGUCGCUGGAGUUGCUCACCAACUUGGCACACGGCAGACCACUCGGCGUCUCGGCCCUCGCCCAGUCGCUCACCAGCCACGCAGACGACAGACCACUCGGCGUCUCGACCCUCGCCCAGCCAUUCAGCCCUUGCCCAAUCACUCUUUCUUCUCUUUCUUCACCACUACUACUGUUUAAGUUUUGAACUCUCUCUCUCUUGUCUCUCUAAAGAUGAAAUCAAACGCAGAGAUUUCUGAGAAUCAAUUCAUGGGAAGCAUUUCGGCCUCUUCAUUACGUAAUCUCCUUCCCAAAAAGUAUAAGAGUAAAUCAAACUCAGUACGUGCACAAUCGAUAUCCGACAUCGAAAACACUCCGUCGAUCAAUCCGAACAUUGCAGAUGCGAACAUCGACGUUUCCACUUCAAUUUCGAAAAAAUUGUCACCUAAAAUGUUGAAUUCUGUCAAUGAGACAACGAGAUUGGAUGACCGGCUGGAGAUGUCGCCACCUACUGAUCCUCCAGUCAACUGUUAUUGAUAGGUUAUGGUGAGGAUUAGACUGCAAAUGAUCAUGAGAUCGAGGGAGGUUGGAUUGUGAGGAAGGCUUGUUCUGAUUAGAGAGAUUCGCAUUCAAGUGAUUUUGAAAUUGUUUGAGG